rnacentral:rRNA from 1 species
AUUGAACGCUGGCGGCAUGCCUUACACAUGCAAGUCGAACGGCAGCACGGGUGCUUGCACCUGGUGGCGAGUGGCGAACGGGUGAGUAAUACAUCGGAACAUGUCCUGUAGUGGGGGAUAGCCCGGCGAAAGCCGGAUUAAUACCGCAUACGAUCUACGGAUGACAGCGGGGGACCUUCGGGCCUCGCGCUAUAGGGUUGGCCGAUAGCUGAUUAGCUAGUUGGUGGGGUAAAGGCCUACCAAGGCGACGAUCAGUAGCUGGUCUGAGAGGACGACCAGCCACACUGGGACUGAGACACGGCCCAGACUCCUACGGGAGGCAGCAGUGGGGAAUUUUGGACAAUGGGCGAAAGCCUGAUCCAGCAAUGCCGCGUGUGUGAAGAAGGCCUUCGGGUUGUAAAGCACUUUUGUCCGGAAAGAAAUCCUUGGCUCUAAUACAGUCGGGGGAUGACGGUACCGGAAGAAUAAGCACCGGCUAACUACGUG